CAUGGCUCAGAUUGAACGCUGGCGGCAGGCCUAACACAUGCAAGUCGAACGGUAGCACAGAGAGCUUGCUCUCGGGUGACGAGUGGCGGACGGGUGAGUAAUGUCUGGGAAACUGCCUGAUGGAGGGGGAUAACUACUGGAAACGGUAGCUAAUACCGCAUAACGUCUUCGGACCAAAGUGGGGGACCUUCGGGCCUCACACCAUCGGAUGUGCCCAGAUGGGAUUAGCUAGUAGGUGGGGUAAUGGCUCACCUAGGCGACGAUCCCUAGCUGGUCUGAGAGGAUGACCAGCCACACUGGAACUGAGACACGGUCCAGACUCCUACGGGAGGCAGCAGUGGGGAAUAUUGCACAAUGGGCGCAAGCCUGAUGCAGCCAUGCCGCGUGUAUGAAGAAGGCCUUCGGGUUGUAAAGUACUUUCAGCGGGGAGGAAGGCGAUAAGGUUAAUAACCUUGUCGAUAGANGUUACCCGCAGAAGAAGCACCGGCUAACUCCGUGCCAGCAGCCGCGGUAAUACGGAGGGUGCAAGCGUUAAUCGGAAUUACUGGGCGUAAAGCGCACGCAGGCGGUCUGUCAAGUCAGAUGUGAAAUCCCCGGGCUUAACCUGGGAACUGCAUUUGAAACUGGCAGGCUAGAGUCUUGUAGAGGGGGGUAGAAUUCCAGGUGUAGCGGUGAAAUGCGUAGAGAUCUGGAGGAAUACCGGUGGCGAAGGCGGCCCCCUGGACAAAGACUGACGCUCAGGUGCGAAAGC
rnacentral:rRNA from 1 species